rnacentral:rRNA from 1 species
AUUGAACGCUGGCGGCAUGCCUUACACGUGCAAGUCGAACGGCAGCACGGGUGCUUGCCCCUGGUGGCGAGUGGCGAACGGGUGAGUAAUACAUCGGAACAUGUCCUGUAGUGGGGGAUAGCCCGGCGAAAGCCGGAUUAAUACCGCAUACGAUCUACGGAUGAAAGCGGGGGACCUUCGGGCCUCGCGCUAUAGGGUUGGCCGAUGGCUGAUUAGCUAGUUGGUGGGGUAAAGGCCUACCAAGGCGACGAUCAGUAGCUGGUCUGAGAGGACGACCAGCCACACUGGGACUGAGACACGGCCCAGACUCCUACGGGAGGCAGCAGUGGGGAAUUUUGGACAAUGGGCGAAAGCCUGAUCCAGCAAUGCCGCGUGUGUGAAGAAGGCCUUCGGGUUGUAAAGCACUUCUGUCCGGAAAGAAAUCCUUGGCCCUAAUACGGUCGGGGGAUGACGGUACCGGAAGAAUAAGCACCGGCUAACUACGUG